GCAGACACAUUCCAGCCAAUCAGCAGCAGACCCUCCCUCCUAGACCCUCCCACCUCCUGGACAGCAUCCAUUUUGAAGCUGCUUUCUUAGUGAGCUGUCCAGAAGGUGGGAGGGUGUGGGAGGGAGGGUCUGCUGCUGAUUGGCUGGAAUGUGUCUG
rnacentral:miRNA from 1 species